GCCUCUCCUGCCUGCCCUUCCCCCUCGUACGAGCGCCAGCAGCUCUGCGCUCGCUACCGAGGCCGCCGGGGACCUCCAGACUCCGAGGAAAGAGAGGCAGGACGGUGCUGGGGCAAGACAUUGCCGUCCGCGAAGGCUGAAGGUCCCGACUGGUUCGCCGAUCCCCAGGUGCCCAAGUUUCAGCGCCAGAGAUGCCCUGGAUGAGGUCCCUUCUUUCAGGGACCCCCAGAAUUGAGGCCAGUCUCCCCUGGCUGCUUUUCCCGGCCCUGAACCCAACCCUCACUCUUACCUCUCCUCGCUCAAAUCACCACCACCAGCAGCACCACCACCUAAAAACCCCAAGCAGAUGGUGUCGAACUGGUAUGCCCGCUCUCUAAGGAUGAAAGUGGCGUGGGAGUCAAGAUUCUAUAAGCAUUCACAGCUACCCCAGGAGAAACUGCAGCUACUGGGACUAUUAGCCAAAGUGCUUCCCUGGCAUUACACCAGCCACCGUGCUAGAGGCCCUGCAGAAUACCCAAAGACCCCUGUUCUGAUGGUGGCCCCAGAGACACUCUGGAGUAGCAAUCAUUGAAUGAUUGACAGCAGGGCCUCCCCUCCAUACCAAGCAAGCUGGCAACAAACUCACCAAUCCCUUCGAACCACCGCUACCUGCAAGGCUUCUGACGAAGCGAUAGAAAUUCUUUGAGGAUGUCAACAGGCAUGACCAUAAAGGGGAAUAGGUGCUUAUAAAGCAUCAUUAAUUAUGACAGCCAAGGAGUUCCUGUCAUGGCGCAGUGGUUAAUGUAUCCGACUAGGAACCAUGAGUUUGCGGGUUCGAUCCCUGGCCUCACUCAGUGGGUUAAGGAUCCGGCGUUGCCGUGAGCUGUAGAGUAGGUUGCAGACGCGGCUCAGAUCCUGCGUUGCUGUGGCUGUGGUGUAGGCUGGCAGCUACAGCUCCAAUCUGACCCCUAGCCUGGGAACUUCCAUAUGCCGCAGGAGCAAGUCAAGAAAAGGCAAAAAGACAAAAAAAA
rnacentral:lncRNA from 1 species